rnacentral:sRNA from 1 species
GCUGCCACAAGCACAUACCCCCAAGCUUGGGAGAGAGAGAUGUUGAAUAUCAGAGCAGUGAAUGAAGAAGCAUAUAAAUACCUCAUAGCCAUUCCCCCAAGGUAUUGGUCAAGAAGUAGGUUCAGAACUCAAGCAAUGUGUGAUACUCUGGAUAACAACAUCAGUGAAGGAUUCAACAGUGUUCUUGUUCAGUCCAGAGGAAAACCCAUUAUAACCAUGCUGGAGGAUAUUAGACUGUAUUUGAUGAAAAGAUGGGCCACGAACAGAACGAAGGUGGCAUCUAUGGAUUUCAAUGUCUAUCCAAAGAUCAAAAAGAGACUUAUGAAGGAAUGUAAUUUGUCAAGAUAUUGGAUCCCAAGCUGGUCUGCAAGAAGGAUUUUUGAGGUUAGGCAUGUUUCAAUCAUUGGGAACAAGUUCAUAGUGGACCUAGACAAUGAAGAAUGUAG